rnacentral:rRNA from 1 species
AGAGUUUGAUCAUGGCUCAGAUUGAACGCUGGCGGCAGGCCUAACACAUGCAAGUCGAGCGGUAGCACAGAGAGCUUGCUCUCGGGUGACAAGCGGCGGACGGGUGAGUAAUGUCUGGGAAACUGCCUGAUGGAGGGGGAUAACUACUGGAAACGGUAGCUAAUACCGCAUAACGUCGCAAGACCAAAGUGGGGGACCUUCGGGCCUCAUGCCAUCAGAUGUGCCCAGAUGGGAUUAGCUAGUAGGUGGGGUAACGGCUCACCUAGGCGACGAUCCCUAGCUGGUCUGAGAGGAUGACCAGCCACACUGGAACUGAGACACGGUCCAGACUCCUACGGGAGGCAGCAGUGGGGAAUAUUGCACAAUGGGCGCAAGCCUGAUGCAGCCAUGCCGCGUGUAUGAAGAAGGCCUUCGGGUUGUAAAGUACUUUCAGCGGGGAGGAAGGCGAUAAGGUUAAUAACCUUGUCGAUUGACGUUACCCGCAGAAGAAGCACCGGCUAACUCCGUGCCAGCAGCCGCGGUAAUACGGAGGGUGCAAGCGUUAAUCGGAAUUACUGGGCGUAAAGCGCACGCAGGCGGUCUGUCAAGUCGGAUGUGAAAUCCCCGGGCUCAACCUGGGAACUGCAUUCGAAACUGGCAGGCUAGAGUCUUGUAGAGGGGGGUAGAAUUCCAGGUGUAGCGGUGAAAUGCGUAGAGAUCUGGAGGAAUACCGGUGGCGAAGGCGGCCCCCUGGACAAAGACUGACGCUCAGGUGCGAAAGCGUGGGGAGCAAACAGGAUUAGAUACCCUGGUAGUCCACGCCGUAAACGAUGUCGAUUUGGAGGUUGUGCCCUUGAGGCGUGGCUUCCGGAGCUAACGCGUUAAAUCGACCGCCUGGGGAGUACGGCCGCAAGGUUAAAACUCAAAUGAAUUGACGGGGGCCCGCACAAGCGGUGGAGCAUGUGGUUUAAUUCGAUGCAACGCGAAGAACCUUACCUGGUCUUGACAUCCACAGAACUUAGCAGAGAUGCUUUGGUGCCUUCGGGAACUGUGAGACAGGUGCUGCAUGGCUGUCGUCAGCUCGUGUUGUGAAAUGUUGGGUUAAGUCCCGCAACGAGCGCAACCCUUAUCCUUUGUUGCCAGCGGUUCGGCCGGGAACUCAAAGGAGACUGCCAGUGAUAAACUGGAGGAAGGUGGGGAUGACGUCAAGUCAUCAUGGCCCUUACGACCAGGGCUACACACGUGCUACAAUGGCAUAUACAAAGAGAAGCGACCUCGCGAGAGCAAGCGGACCUCAUAAAGUAUGUCGUAGUCCGGAUUGGAGUCUGCAACUCGACUCCAUGAAGUCGGAAUCGCUAGUAAUCGUAGAUCAGAAUGCUACGGUGAAUACGUUCCCGGGCCUUGUACACACCGCCCGUCACACCAUGGGAGUGGGUUGCAAAAGAAGUAGGUAGCUUAACCUUCGGGAGGGCGCUUACCACUUUGUGAUUCAUGACUGGGGUGAAGUCGUAACAAGGUAACCGUAGGGGAACCUGCGGUUGGAUCACCU